GCAGGAACUGUGGCUCUGUGGUGGAGCAUCUGCUUGGUAUGUGGAGGGUUCCGGGUUCAAUUCCUGCCACUUGCC
rnacentral:tRNA from 1 species